rnacentral:rRNA from 1 species
AUUGAACGCUGGCGGCAUACCUUACACAUGCAAGUCGAACGGUAACGGGCCUUCGGGUGCCGACGAGUGGCGAACGGGUGAGUAAUACAUCGGAACGUGCCCGAUCGUGGGGGAUAACGAGGCGAAAGCUUUGCUAAUACCGCAUACGAUCUACGGAUGAAACCAGGGGACCGCAAGGCCUUGCGCGGACUGAGCGGCCGAUGGCAGAUUAGGUAGUUGGUGUGAUAAAAGCUUACCAAGCCGACGAUCUGUAGCUGGUCUGAGAGGAUGAUCAGCCACACUGGGACUGAGACACGGCCCAGACUCCUACGGGAGGCAGCAGUGGGGAAUUUUGGACAAUGGGCGCAAGCCUGAUCCAGCCAUGCCGCGUGCAGGAUGAAGGCCUUCGGGUUGUAAACUGCUUUUGUACGGAACGAAAAGCCUUCUUUUAAUACAGGAGGGUCAUGACGGUACCGUAAGAAUAAGCACCGGCUAACUACGUG